rnacentral:snRNA from 1 species
AGCUUUGUGCAGUGGCAUUACUGUAGCCAAUGAAGUUUAUCCAAGCCAUGAUUAUUACUAGUUGAAAAUUUUUCCCAAUAUCCUGCUAUGAUGACUUGAAAUAAAGCCCACUUUGGCAAUUUUUGACAGACUCUACAGAGC